GGAGGGCAAGUCUGGUGCCCGCAGCCGCGGUAAUUCCAGCUCCAAUAGCGUAUAUUAAAGUUGUUGUGGUUAAAAAGCUCGUAGUUGAACCUUGGGCCUGGCUGGCCGGUCCGCCUCACCGCGUGUACUGGUCCGGCCGGGUCUUUCCCUCUGUGGAACCCCAUGCCCUUCACUGGGUGUGGCGGGGAAACAGGACUUUUACUUUGAAAAAAUUAGAGUGCUCCAGGCAGGCCUAUGCUCGAAUACAUUAGCAUGGAAUAAUAGAAUAGGACGUGUGGUUCUAUUUUGUUGGUUUCUAGGACCGCCGUAAUGAUUAAUAGGGACAGUCGGGGGCAUCAGUAUUCAAUUGUCAGAGGUGAAAUUCUUGGAUUUAUUGAAGACUAACUACUGCGAAAGCAUUUGCCAAGGAUGUUUUCAUUAAUCAGGAACGAAAGUUAGGGGAUCGAAGACGAUCAGAUACCGUCGUAGUCUUAACCAUAAACUAUGCCGACUAGGGAUCGGACGAUGUUAUUUUUUGACUCGUUCGGCACCUUACGGGAAAC
rnacentral:rRNA from 1 species